UACAGAGACUGCAAGCGUUGUUCGGAAUCACUGGGCGUAAAGGGAGCGUAGGCGGCGUGGUAAGUCAGAUGUGAAAUCCCGGGGCUCAACCCCGGAACUGCAUCCGAUACUGCCAUGCUAGAGGAUUGGAGAGGUAGCUGGAAUUCUUGGUGUAGCAGUGAAAUGCGUAGAGAUCAAGAGGAACACUCGUGGCGAAAGCGAGCUACUGGACAAUUCCUGACGCUGAGGCUCGAAGGCUAGGGUAGCGAAAGGG
rnacentral:rRNA from 1 species